rnacentral:rRNA from 1 species
GACGAACGCUGGCGGCGUGCCUAAUACAUGCAAGUCGGACGCAGUUGCGAACGGGUGAGUAAUGCGUUGGUAACUACCUAUUAGAGGGGGAUAACUAUUGGAAACGAUAGCUAAUACCGCCUACUAGUAGGUGGAUCUGCGUUGUAUUAGCUAGUAGGUCGGGUAAUGGGCUACCUAGGCAACGAUAGAUAGCCGACGUGGGAGGGUUGGCGGGGACAACGGGACAGAGAGACGGCCCAGACCGCUACGGGAGGCAGCAGGAGGGAGUCUUCGGCAAUGGGGGGAAACCUGCGCGAGCAAAGCCGCGUGAGUGAAGGAGGGUUUCGGAGGGUAAAGCUCUGUUGUUAAGGAAGCGGUACGUAACCAAAAAGGGACGGCUAACUACGUGCCAGCAGCCGCGGUAAUAC